UACGUAGGGGGCAAGCGUUGUCCGGAAUCAUUGGGCGUAAAGAGCGUGUAGGCGGCUCGGUAAGUCCGCUGUGAAAGUCCAGGGCUCAACCCUGGAAUGCCGGUGGAAACUGUCGAGCUAGAGUCCGGAAGAGGCGAGUGGAAUUCCUGGUGUAGCGGUGAAAUGCGCAGAUAUCAGGAGGAACACCUGUGGUGUAGACAGCUUACUGGACCACUUCUGACGCUGAGACACGAAAGCGUGGGUAGCAAACAGG
rnacentral:rRNA from 1 species